GACGAACGCUGGCGGCGUGCCUAAUACAUGCAAGUCGAACGCAGUGGGGACGGGUGAGUAACACGUGGGUAACCUCCCAUCAGAGGGGAUAACACUUGGAAACAGGUGCUAAACCUAUAAUGAUGGAUGCACCCGCGGUGCAUUAGCUAGUUGGUGAGGUAACGGCUCACCAAGGCCAAGAUGCAUAGCCGACCUGAGAGGGUGAUCGGCCACACUGGGACUGAGACACGGCCCAGACUCCUACGGGAGGCAGCAGUGGGGAAUAUUGGACAAUGGGCGCAAGCCUGAUGCAGCCAUGCCGCGUGUAUGAAGAAGGCCUUAGGGUUGUAAAGUACUUUCAGCGGGGAGGCGUGACCCGCAGAAGAAGCACCGGCUAACUCCGUGCCAGCAGCCGCGGUAAUAC
rnacentral:rRNA from 1 species